CACGUAGGCGGGUUGUUAAGUCAGGGGUGAAAUCCCGGAGCUCAACUCCGGAACUGCCUUUGAUACUGGCAAUCUAGAGACUGGAAGAGGUUAGUGGAAUUCCCAGUGUAGAGGUGAAAUUCGUAGAUAUUGGGAAGAACACCAGUGGCGAAGGCGGCUAACUGGUCCAGUACUGACGCUGAGGUGCGAAAGCGUGGGGAGCAAACA
rnacentral:rRNA from 1 species